CAGCAGCCAAGGAAGAAGCAGCGACCUGGCGUCUGCUCGGGCCAGGGAGUGAUAUCGGACACCCAGCUUCGGCAAGCUCUCUCCAAGGGAUGAAGCCCCACCCGCUGUACAGGAUGCAAAGCCCUCCUCUAUAAAGUGCGUGCGGGGCCAGAUGCAGUGGCUCACGUCUGACCUCCCAACACUUUGGGAGGCCGAGGCAGGGGCAUCGUUUGAGACCAGCCUGGACAACAUUGUGAGACCCUGUUCCUUGAAUUGCCCUGGGAGAUUUCCUCAGCUUGUACUGGAGGUGUGUGGCCCCAUGAAGCCCAUAGUCACCGUUCACCCUGAGAGACGCUGGCUUUGGGGCUCACAUGCCUGCUGCGGGGCAGCCCCAGGAGAUGGCCACCCUGUUUCUCCUGGAGCUGGAGCUGCGCGUGUUCAACUGUGGUGGCUGUCCUGUUUUGUUUGCAUCUUAUAAACCUUUACCUGAUUACAUUUUCCUCUUCAAUUUAGCUGCUAGAAAACUUAAAGUCAGAUUGGUGGCUCACCAGUAAUGAGAGUUUAGAGUAGAGGUAAACUUUAUGACAUAGUCUUAGACUCUUCACUUUCUCCUCAGCCAACAUGAUUCACAUUUACUUUAUUUUGCUGUACUGUGAGUGUCUUUGUGUUUCCUGAAUUCCUUCUGGAAUAAGGCAGGUUGUUAGUAAGCACAGGUUUCUGGUCCAUCUCAUAGCCUCAGGCAGUGGGCGGUGCUGUCCGUGCUCCCUUUCUGGGUUACCUGUGGUAGCUCUGAAGUUGCAGGGCUGCGAUUUGAAGCCUGAUUUAGUACACCGUGUUUCUGUUGUGUUCUGUGGUGGUUUGCUCCUCACAUGUGAGCAUUCACCCUGUGGCCCUGUGUUUUUCCACCACACCUCUGCCUGGUGGCAUCCUACUGGAUGUCUCAGCCGAGCCACUCUGUUCUGAAGACGCCCUUGUCCUCCACCCCUUUGCUUUGGGCUCUGAGCUUCUUCUGCCUUUCAUCUCUGUAGGAUGAAGCCCCACCCGCCCUUCAGGAUGCCAGCCUUGGCAACAUUGUGAGACCCUGUUUCUACAAAAAGUAAACGUGUAGUGGUGCACGCCUGUAGUUCUAGCUACUUGGGAGGCUGAGAUGGGAAGAUCACUUCAGCCUGGGAGGUUGAGGCUGCAUUGAGCUGAGAUCAAGCCACGGCACUCCAGCCUGGGAGACAGAGCGAAACCCCAUCUCAAAAAAACAAAGAAAGUGGAUGCACGCUGCUCCUGCCAUUGGAUCAUCGCAGCAUUUUUCUUUUCUCUGAUAUGCGCCUUUUUCCUCAUCGUGGGGGCUCAUGUUUUUGUACUUUCCUCUCGCUACUAGAUUGUGAGCUGCGUGAAGGAAGGUUCAUAGUUGUGUUGUAUGUACAGGCACACAAAAUUUGUCCUUGGAUAGACACAUAUCAAUCCGCUUCCUUCUCCUCUCUGAAGUUCUUUAUUUAAAAAAAAAAAUUAGAGAUGGAGUCUCACUGUCUUGCCCAGGCUGGUCUCAAACUCCUAGGCUCAAGCGAUCCUCCCGCCU
rnacentral:lncRNA from 1 species